AAGUCGUAACAAGGUCUCCGUUGGUGAACCAGCGGAGGGAUCAUUAACACUGGAGGGAGAUUAGGAUGAGCAUGCUCUUCCUAACCUUUCACACCGUACCAACCCGCGAACUGAACUGAUGCCCCCUCCUUGGUUGCUGCUACCUGCAACCAGCAGCCGAGUGUGUUUUUCUUGUAUUUCUACAAAACCAUAAACCAACUGUUGUGAAUGAAUAGCGGACUCUGUCCUGUCUAUUUCUGUAACAUUGUGAAUGUAAGCACAACUCUUAGCAACGGAUAUCUCGGUUCUC
rnacentral:misc_RNA from 1 species